UUUUGUUGUGUUCCCAAUCCAAAAUCCCCGAAGCUUGUCCAUCCUUCAUGCUCACCUGCACUGUCGGGCUCAUCCCUACACUGUUGCUGUUGGGACUCGAUAUGUGAAUAAUAUGGCUGGGAUAGGGUGGCCUCAGAAUCAUCAUCUCUCUCAUUUUCUCUUAGACCCCCUUCCCACUCUCCCUCAUUAGGUGCAAUAUCACCGACAUAUUGUGGAUACAUUGGCUGGCUGCUUCCUCUUUCAUGCUGCUCAUCACUUUCUUCAAUGUCUUCAUCACCGAUAGCCUCAAGGAACGCUCUCUUGUGCAACACUGGCUCCUCCUCUUCUACUACCCAUUGGUCUGCUGUGUUUGUGACAAAUAUUGUGUCUAAGUGUAUCAACCCAUAGUCUUCAAGCUUCCUUCUUAUUUGUCGCUCUUUGAGGUUUAAAUUAUAAUGAACGUAGACUAGUUUAUGAAGCUUCUUAGAAGCGAGUCGAUUC
rnacentral:lncRNA from 1 species